rnacentral:rRNA from 1 species
UACGGAGGGAGCUAGCGUUGUUCGGAAUUACUGGGCGUAAAGCGUACGUAGGCGGUUAUUCAAGUCAGAGGUGAAAGCCCGGGGCUCAACCCCGGAACGGCCUUCGAAACUAGGUAGCUAGAAUCUUGGAGAGGUCAGUGGAAUUCCGAGUGUAGAGGUGAAAUUCGUAGAUAUUCGGAAGAACACCAGUGGCGAAGGCGGCUCACUGGACUGGUAUUGACGCUGAGGUGCGAAAGCGUGGGGAGCAAACAGG